UACGUAGGGACGAGCGUUGUCCGGAUCAUUGGGCGUAAAGCGCGUGUAGGCGGCUGGUAGGUCCGCUGUGAAACUUGAGGCUCAACCUCAAGAGGUCGGUGGAAACCAUCCAGCUAGAGUCCGGAAGAGGGAGUGGAAUUCCAGGUGUAGCGGUGAAAUGCGUAGAUAUCAAGAGGAACACCUGAGGUGAAGACGGGUUGCUGGCUGACACUGACGUGAGGCGCGAAAGCCAGGGAGCAAACGGG
rnacentral:rRNA from 1 species